UAAAGAAAGCGUAAUAGCUCACUGGUCGAGUCGGCCUGCGCGGAAGAUGUAACGGGGCUAAACCAUGCACCGAAGCUGCGGCAGCGACACUGUGUGUUGUUGGGUAGGGGAGCGAUCUGUAAGCCUGUGAAGGUGGCCUGUGAGGGUUGCUGGAGGUAUCAGAAGUGCGAAUGCUGACAUAAGUAACGAUAAAGCGGGUGAAAAGCCCGCUCGCCGGAAGACCAA
rnacentral:rRNA from 1 species